rnacentral:lncRNA from 1 species
UCUCAUCACCCAUCUGUGACCCACUCACCCAUCUACCUAUGUAUCUACCUAUCUACCCACCCACAAUCCAACUGCCCACCUACCUAUAUAUCUAUCCUACGUAUGGCCAUCCAUCUUUCCAUUUAUCUCACCCCACCUAUGUAUCCAUCCACCUACAAUCCACUCAUUUACCCACCUACCUUAAUGUUUAUCCAUCUGUUUAUUCACCCUUCCAUCCCUCCAUCUACCACUCACCCAUCUACCGUGUAUCCACUCAACCAUACAUCUAGCCCCUGACCUAUCCACUCACAUAAUUCAUCCCUCCCUCCACCAUCUGUAUAUCCACCAUCCACCUCUCCCUCCAUUCAUCCACCAUCCAUUUAUCUACAACCCAUCCACCCACUCCUCCAUCCACAAUUCACCUACCCAUCCAUCCAUCAAUCCCUCCAACAUCCAUCAUCUAUCCAACCAUCCAUUCUCUAUCCAUCCAUCUUCCAUCUAUCCAUCUGUUCUCCAUCCAUCCAUCCAUCCAUCCAUCCAUCCAUCCAUCUAUUCUCCAUCCAUCCAUCAGUUCAUACGUUCAUUCAUCCACCCACCCACCUGUUCACCCACCCACUUCCUUCACCAACCUCCUGAAAACCUUUCUAGCCUGACAACUCCUCUCGAGCC